UGCGCCCAUCGUCUAGCGGUUAGGACGCCGCCCUUUCACGGCGGAAACAGGGGUUCGAUUCCCCUUGGGCGUACCAU
rnacentral:tRNA from 1 species